rnacentral:lncRNA from 1 species
AGUGGGGCGGUAUGUCUCAAGGUGGAACUGUCACGAGUCCUAAGUGCCAGGCUGCCCACUGCAUGGCUCAGGAUUUCAGAGUGACUCAGACUGUGACGUUUCUUCACUGUGACCAUCAUGUGAUUCUUUCCCUCGUGGGCUGCCCCUGCCUUCCGCAUGUGUCAUCAGCACCGUGGAGAGCUGGACUAGAGAAGAGUCAUCCUUGAUGUAUAAGAAGUCCUAGCUAAGAAAGCCUAUGAGGGGGCAGGAGAGGAAAGACAGACAGACAGACAGGGUCUGCUGCCAUUCAGGCUAAAUGGCAAGGCCGGAGGCACGAACUCACUCACGAGACAGCAAAGGAUCUGAGACAAGCUUUCCAGAGGACACCGCCAGCCACUCCCCAGAAGACAAGGGCUGCUUCUUGGCUCAUCAAGAGGAAUGCAGUGGACAGAGUGGACUUUUGACACAGCGGAAAAGAUCCGUCAGAGGCUGUAGACCAAGUCCUAGCUCCAGAAUGGAGCUACAGCUGUGAUCUUAGGCGAGCCACUAUUUCCCCCCUAAAGCGAGCUAAUAAUAAAG